rnacentral:rRNA from 1 species
CCUACGGGAGACAGCAGUGAGGAAUAUUGGUCAAUGGACGAGAGUCUGAACCAGCCAAGCAGCGUGAAGGAUGACUGCCCUAUGGGUUGUAAACUUCUUUUAUAAAGGAAUAAAGUGAGGCACGUGUUCCUUUUUGUAUGUACUUUAUGUACAAGGAUCGGCUAACUCCGUGCCAGCAGCCGCGGUACUACGGAGGAUCCGAGCGUUAUCCGGAUUUAUUGGGUUUAAAGGGAGCGUAGGUGGGUUGUUAAGUCAGUUGUGAAAGUUUGCGGCUCAACCGUAAAAUUGCAAUUGAUACUGGCAGCCUUGAGUGCAGGAGAGGUAAGCGGAAUUCGUGGUGUAGCGGUGAAAUGCUUAGAUAUCACGAAGAACUCCGAUUGCGAAGGCAGCUUACU